rnacentral:rRNA from 1 species
CGCGGUAAUACGUAGGGUGCGAGCGUUAAUCGGAAUUACUGGGCGUAAAGCGUGCGCAGGCGGUUUUGUAAGACAGGCGUGAAAUCCCCGGGCUCAACCUGGGAACUGCGCUUGUGACUGCAUCACUUGAGUACGGCAGAGGGGGGUGGAAUUCCACGUGUAGCAGUGAAAUGCGUAGAGAUGUGGAGGAACACCGAUGGCGAAGGCAGCCCCCUGGGUCGAUACUGACGCUCAUGCACGAAAGCGUGGGUAGCAAACAGGAUUAGAUACCCUGGUAGUCCACGCCCUAAACGAUGUCAACUAGGUGUUGGGUGGGUAAAACCAUUUAGUACCGUAGCUAACGCGUGAAGUUGACCGCCUGGGGAGUACGGCCGCAAGGUUAAAACUCAAAGGAAUUGACGGGGACCCGCACAAGCGGUGGAUGAUGUGGAUUAAUUCGAUGCAACGCGAAAAACCUUACCUACCCUUGACAUGUCCAGAAGCCUGAAGAGAUUUUGGUGUGCCCGAAAGGGAACUGGAACACAGGUGCUGCAUGGCUGUCGUCAGCUCGUGUCGUGAGAUGUUGGGUUAAGUCCCGCAACGAGCGCAACCCUUGUCGUUAAUUGCCAUCAUUUAGUUGGGCACUUUAACGAGACUGCCGGUGACAAACCGGANGAAGGUGGGGAUGACGUCAAGUCCUCAUGGCCCUUAUGGGUAGGGCUUCACACGUCAUACAAUGGUCGGUACAGAGGGUUG